UCACCAUUGUUGAUAUCAUCAUCAUGAUCAUCGCCACUGCCACUGUCACCACCACCACCAUCAUGAUGCACCUUCUCCUCCUCUACAUCCUCUCCACACCAUGACACAGUUGAGGUGCGCCGGAUGUCGUAACCUCUGAACCUCCAGCUCAGACACAGACACCAACACCAGGAGACGGGGCGUCGUCUAGUACCAGUUGUGUGGGUAAGGCACCAGGAAGCUAUGCAAUCCCAGGAGACUGCAAAAACUAUAUGGUAUGCUCCAAUGGAAAUA